rnacentral:rRNA from 1 species
CCUAAAGAACCUAAAUAUCUAAACGGAGAAAUUCAAUACUACCGUUAAACGUAGUGUGCACUUUUCUCUUAGUAAGACGCCGUGAUCCAUUAGAAAUUGAUACAUACAAAAUGUAUAUUGGGUCAUCAAUAGGUCAAUAUGAAGUUUAUUGGAACAAAUGUCAUAAUCUUACACGGUUGUGUGUAUUGUCUGGUAAGCAUAUUGUAUCCUGUAAUGACUGUCUGAUGGAUUUUAAAGAUAAUAUUAUUGAUGUUACGGCAUCAACUUGGUGAAUAACUAAGUAUUUGAUAUUUAUCUGAUCAACGGCGGUUAAAUUUAGGAUACCUUUUGGACCCGUCUUGAAACACGGACCAAGGAGUCUAUCUAGUAUGCGAGUAAAUGGAUAGAUUAUGAAAUCUAUUUGCAUAAUAAACUUGACUGUUUUUAUGGGAUUACGAG